AAGACUAUACUUUCAGGGAUCAUUUCUAUAGUUUCUAACUCAUGAAAUGUGUUUCUAAAGUGUUUGGUCUCGCUAACCACGAUGAUGAGUUGGUGAUACUCUCUCCUGAGCGUGAAGCGGGUAGAAAAACUUGAAGUGAUUCACAUGUUUUCUACUUUUGAUGACCGUUCACUGUCUCCUCUGGGGACGAUGAGGGAGAGAGUAUGAUCAGAGUGGC